rnacentral:rRNA from 1 species
CCUACGGGAUGCUGCAGUGGGGAAUAUUGGUCAAUGGCGGAAACUCUGAACCAGCAACGCCGCGUGAAUGAUGAAGGUCUUCGGAUUGUAAAGUUCUUUUCCAAGGGAAGCAGAAAGUGACGGUACCUUAGGACUAAGCCUCGGCUAACUACGUGCAAGCAGCCGCGGUAAUACGGAGGAUUCAGGAAUUAUCCGGAUUUAUUGGGUUUAAAGGGUGCGUAGGCGGUCGGAUAAGUUAGAGGUGAAAUCCCGAGGCUCAACUUCGGAAUUGGCUCUGAUACUGGUAGGCUAGAGAGUAGUUGCGGUAGGCGGAAUGUACGGUGUAGCGGUGAAAUGCUUAGAGAUUAUACAGAACACCGAUUGCGAAGGCAGCUUACCAGGCUACUUCUGACGUUGAGGCACGAAAGCGUGGGGAGCAAACAGGAUUAGAUACCCUUGUAGUC